UCGUCCACUAGUUUAUCAAGUGUUCAAUCAACGCCUCUUUCACCUUUUGUUCGGCAGCUUCAAGCUUCAAGCCCAAUUAAGCAGGUUGUUCAUGAAUUAGCAUUUGCUAUUUGACAAUUUCUCCAAGGACCCAAAUCAUCAAUAAAACUAUACAAUGUGGUUCUAGAAGGUGAUUUCAACAACGAGGAUGAUGAAGGCUGGACCGAAGAAGAAUUCGAAAGCCAUGUUGUUAAAGAACGUGAGGGAAAAAGACUAUUGUUGAAUGGUGACUUGCAAGUUGUUCUCAACGAAGGUGUUGGGACUUUAGGGGAGUUGACUUUUACCGACAAUUCAAGUUGGAUUAGAAGCAUGAAGUUUCGGCUCGGUUUAAAGGUUGUCUCCGGGUUCUGGGAAGAGAUUCGUGUUCGUGAAGAGAAAGAGGGAUUCUUAUUCUGAUCACGGUGGUGGUGGCGGUGACUAGAUAUGAUGGCGGUGGUGGAGGUCGGUUGAGGAGAAAGAGGGGAAGAGAUGGUUGAGAGAAGAGAUAAGGUUUUAUAAAAACAUAAAAAGUGAAAUUACUAAUCUACCCUCAUGUGCAAGGCACAUGUUUUGAGUUAACUUAAAAUUUUAACCUUGUUAGUGCUAAAUGAUGAAAGAUGUAACGAGUUUUUCCAAAUAAAGGAUUAUGACUGUAAUUAUUGAA